CACGUAGGCGGAUACUUAAGUUAGGGGUGAAAUCCCAGAGCUCAACUCUGGAACUGCCUUUAAUACUGGGUAUCUCGAGUCCGAGAGAGGUGAGUGGAAUUCCGAGUGUAGAGGUGAAAUUCGUAGAUAUUCGGAGGAACACCAGUGGCGAAGGCGGCUCACUGGCUCGGUACUGACGCUGAGGUGCGAAAGCGUGGGGAGCAAACA
rnacentral:rRNA from 1 species